rnacentral:misc_RNA from 1 species
UACGGAGGGUGCAAGCGUUAUCCGGAUUUAUUGGGUUUAAAGGGUGCGUAGGCGGGGUGUUAAGUCAGUGGUGAAAUCUCUCAGCUCAACUGAGAAACUGCCAUUGAUACUGACAUCCUUGAGUUUGGUUGAAGUAGGCGGAAUGAGGCAUGUAGCGGUGAAAUGCAUAGAUAUGCCUCAGAACACCGAUCGCGAAGGCAGCUUACUAAGCCAAUACUGACGCUGAGGCACGAAAGCGUGGGGAGCAAACAGG